rnacentral:rRNA from 1 species
AGUGAACGCUGGCGGUAGGCCUAACACAUGCAAGUCGAACGGCAGCACAGUAAGAGCUUGCUCUUACGGGUGGCGAGUGGCGGACGGGUGAGGAAUACAUCGGAAUCUACUUUUUCGUGGGGGAUAACGUAGGGAAACUUACGCUAAUACCGCAUACGACCUACGGGUGAAAGCAGGGGAUCUUCGGACCUUGCGCGAUUGAAUGAGCCGAUGUCGGAUUAGCUAGUUGGCGGGGUAAAGGCCCACCAAGGCGACGAUCCGUAGCUGGUCUGAGAGGAUGAUCAGCCACACUGGAACUGAGACACGGUCCAGACUCCUACGGGAGGCAGCAGUGGGGAAUAUUAGACAAUGGGCGCAAGCCUGAUCCAGCCAUACCGCGUGGGUGAAGAAGGCCUUCGGGUUGUAAAGCCCUUUUGUUUGGAAAGAAAAGCAGCAGGUUAAUACCCCGCUGUUCUGACGGUACCCAAAGAAUAAGCACCGGCUAACUUCGUG